rnacentral:lncRNA from 1 species
AUAAAGCAAAGCAGUGCAACAAAACCAACAGUUUUCAAAGAGAUUAGUUUGUUUUUAGGAGCAAUCGUUCUUUAAAGUGAAAUUCUGACUUGAAUUGUAAGAAUAUGCAUGCCUUGUGACUUAACUCAUGUAUGCAGCAUCAAUUAGUAUAACACGCCUGACAGACAGCACUGUGACGGGUCAACAUCCCACAGGUGGUUGGACUGGAGGAUGGUAUGGUGCUGAUAAAAGCUAUUGCUGGCAACAACACCUGACUCCGUACUUCAGGCCGCUGCAACAGAUCAAGCAGUACCAGCGCUUCAGGUUUCAGCUGCUUCGCAACGCUGACAUCCUUCCUCCCAUAGAUGGUCUGCCUGUAAAAGCGCCAUCUGGACUGGACACAGCUCGACAAGAUCAGGGAGUUUUGCGACGAAGAGGCUAUGGACAUCACAUGCCCUGCACCAAAGUCAAUGGCAGGACUGAAACAGGCUCGCCGAAUAUAGAUUGCCUUGUCGUGCGUGGUUCGGAAGACCAGUCAUAAGCACUAUCUGCAGUCCCUCUAUUCAAAUGACUCCUAACACACAUGCCAUACGUAUGCAUAAAGCUUGUGUAUCACUGAUAUUGUUCUUGUACAUAAUGUAUAUUUUAUAUUGACACUUUUUCUGAUAUUGCUACUAUGCAAGUAACCAUUUGGCUGUACCGUUUACACCUUCUGUAGGGACCAUCCACUUAGCAAAAUGUUGCUGUAUAAAAUGAAUAUUGAUGUGGUCAUAACAUUAUUUUGUGACAUACCACAACAAUAUCAUGUGACCGUAUAGUGUCCACCACAACUAUAUGGUGCAUGCAUCAGUUUACAUACUGUACAUGUGCACCUCACUCAGGUUUAAACUCAGGAGGCAUUUGGGCAGUGGUAAAGUGCUUAAGUAAAAAAUACUUGUACUACUUAAGUAGUUGGUGGUAUCUGUACUUUACUAUUUUUAUUUUGCAACUUUUACUUCACUACAUUCGUAAGAAUAUACUUUUUACUCCAUACAUUUUGACAGGAAAAUUGUCUGAUUCACACACUUAUCAAGAGAACAUCCCUGGUCAUCCCUACUGCCUCUGAUCUGGCAGACACGCUAAACACAUGCUUCGUUUGUAAAUUGUUUGAGUGUGCCCCUGGCUAGCUGUCAAUAAAAAUAAAAUAAUUGUG